UCCCGAGUGGGACAUGGUGUUCCCACAGAGUGGGCGGGCGCUUGUGGGUGGCGGCCACCCUGCUGGCACCUAAAUGUCUUCCAACUUCUGCGUGCGUGGCCAACUCAGGGGCCCACCAGGCCCUUGGCCUGCAGUUUGGGCCCUCAAGCCUGGGGAUUCCCAAGGUGGAAGGUUCUUGAAAAGAGAAGCAGGAGCUAAUUAAUUGAUGAAGAGGCCCGAAGGCAAACUCAGUGAAGAAGAAGAGAGGAGGCGGGAGCAUCUGUGGCCUUUUAUGUGGAGUUAAAACGACUCUGCUUUGGCCAGGAGCCGUAGGCUGGAGGAUGAAGGUGUUGGGUCUCGGGCUCUCCACCUGCCUGGUCCUGGCAUGCUGAGGUAUGGGUGGAGGCUGGGGGCCAAGUGAGACGGGCAGUACUGUAGAUGGGUCCCUGGCCUGGGCCACCUGGGGGUCUGCAGGGAAAAUGGCUUAGAAAGAGGAUUUGAGGGCAUCCAGCAGGCAGACUUCAGGUUCAAGCCCACAGAACAUGCACGUUCACGUCCUCUGGCUCCGAACUGGCUGGGAGCAGAUGCCGUGAGCUUUGGUGUGUGCCCAAGCUGCCCAGCUGCAAACAGGGUGCAGGGCCUCCUGGGGAUGCUGGUCACCUGUGGG